UACGAAGAGGGCUAGCGUUGUUCGGAUUUACUGGGCGUAAAGCGCACGUAGGCGGUUUGUUAAGUCAGGGGUGAAAUCCUGGAGCUCAACUCCAGAACUGCCUUUGAUACUGGCGAUCUUGAGUCCGGAAGAGGUGAGUGGAACUCCUAGUGUAGAGGUGGAAUUCGUAGAUAUUAGGAAGAACACCAGUGGCGAAGGCGGCUCACUGGUCCGGUACUGACGCUGAGGUGCGAAAGCGUGGGGAG
rnacentral:rRNA from 1 species